rnacentral:rRNA from 1 species
GAUGAACGCUGGCGGCGUGCCUAAUACAUGCAAGUCGAGCGAACAGACGAGGAGCUUGCUCCUCUGACGUUAGCGGCGGACGGGUGAGUAACACGUGGAUAACCUACCUAUAAGACUGGGAUAACUUCGGGAAACCGGAGCUAAUACCGGAUAAUAUAUUUAACCGCAUGGUUCAAUAGUGAAAGACGGUUUUGCUGUCACUUAUAGAUGGAUCCGCGCCGCAUUAGCUAGUUGGUAAGGUAACGGCUUACCAAGGCAACGAUGCGUAGCCGACCUGAGAGGGUGAUCGGCCACACUGGAACUGAGACACGGUCCAGACUCCUACGGGAGGCAGCAGUAGGGAAUCUUCGGCAAUGGGCGAAAGCCUGACGGAGCAACGCCGCGUGAGUGAUGAAGGUCUUCGGAUCGUAAAACUCUGUUAUUAGGGAAGAACAAAUGUGUAAGUAACUAUGCACGUCUUGACGGUACCUAAUCAGAAAGCCACGGCUAACUACGUG